GACGAACGCUGGCGGCGUGCUUAACACAUGCAAGUCGAACGGAAAGGCCCUGCUUUUGUGGGGUGCUCGAGUGGCGAACGGGUGAGUAACACGUGAGUAACCUGCCCUUGACUUUGGGAUAACUUCAGGAAACUGGGGCUAAUACCGGAUAGGAGCUCCUGCUGCAUGGUGGGGGUUGGAAAGUUUCGGCGGUUGGGGAUGGACUCGCGGCUUAUCAGCUUGUUGGUGGGGUAGUGGCUUACCAAGGCUUUGACGGGUAGCCGGCCUGAGAGGGUGACCGGCCACAUUGGGACUGAGAUAGGCCCCAGACUCCUACGGGAGGCAGCAGUGGGGAAUAUUGCACAAUGGGCGGAAGCCUGAUGCAGCAACGCCGCGUGCGGGAUGACGGCCUUCGGGUUGUAAACCGCUUUCGCCUGUGACGAAGCGUGAGUGACGGUAAUGGGUAAAGAAGCACCGGCUAACUACGUG
rnacentral:rRNA from 1 species